UAGCAUCCUUGUUUAAUUGUUCAUGUAAGAAAAAGCCAAGUUUACUUAAACAUUCAAUCUGCUCGAUAAUGUACAAUACAUGAUCCAUAACUGACGCCCCCUCUCGCAUACGGGUGUUGAACACUGCAUAGGAGGUUUUGUAUCUCUUCGCAUCCUCUGAGAUGUCGAAGGAUGUUGUGCCACAUUUUCAGGUGUGUGGAGUACCUCCCAC
rnacentral:lncRNA from 1 species